GUUUGAUCCUGGCUCAGAGCGAACGUUAGCGGCAGGCUUAACACAUGCAAGUCGAGCGACAAAAGGGGCUUCGGCCCUGAGUAGAGCGGCGGACGGGGUGCGUAACACGUGGAUAAUCUGCCUCGUGGCGGGGGAUAACAGUCCGAAAGGACUGCUAAUACCGCAUGUCAGGUCGGAAACCCCUGGUUUCUGACGAAAAAAGAGGGCGCCCCGCAAGGGGGCUCUCACCACGAGAUGAGUCCGCGGCCCAUCAGCUAGUUGGCGGUGUAAUAGACCACCAAGGCUAAGACGGGUAGCUGGUCUGAGAGGAUGACCAGCCACACUGGGACUGAGACACGGCCCAGACUCCUACGGGAGGCAGCAGUGGGGGAAUAUUGGACAAUGGGCGAAAGCCUGAUCCAGCCAUGCCGCGUGAGUGAUGAAGGUCUUCGGAUCGUAAAGCUCUGUGGGAAGGGACG
rnacentral:rRNA from 1 species